CACCCUAUAAAACAACAAAAGUCUGAUUCAGGCUGUUGAAAAAAGACAAAUUGCCUCAGGGUUGAAAGGGUAUUGGGUGGUAGUAUCCCACUUAGCAGCAGGUCCCCCCUAUAGGUACAUUUGUCCCACAUCGGGGUUGGGGUUGGGUUUGGGUUGGGAUAUAAGUCCCUGGGAUUGCCUCAAGAGUUGCCGGCUUUUGAGGUUAAUUCUGGGAUUAGGUUUAUAAAACAACAAAAGUCUGAUUCAGGCUGUUGAAAAAAGUAGUACAAAACACCCACACGCUGAAUUUGGUCAUCUUCAAUUCCCCCCGUCGCCCCCCACACCGCCUACCCACCAUUCCCCCGCCUAUCGCCACCCUCGACCACCGCCGGUCCUCCUCCACUUUCACUCUCGAUCGAUCACUUGUGAUGCUCGGACAGUCUGUUUCCUCAGUCUCAACUUCGUCCCCGCAUUUUCUCUCUCUGCCCCCAAAAAGAGACUGAUACGUAUGGGGCACAAGAAGCGAAACUCCGCUGCCCGCUCCAAACCCUCGGUUUCUUCACCGGCGGCUGUUUCUCCUUCCCCUCCGGCCGUGGUGUCAGCUGCUGGCGACGGUGCUGUUGCAUCAGCCGAACAGCCAGAAAACCUAAUCUCGUUGAAUCCGUCGAUUAAUACAGCUGAAGCUCCGUUGAGCACUGAGUCAGAAAACAGGUCGGAAAGCCUUAAUUCAGCUUCUUCUUCCUCCUUAGCAUCGACUUCUUAUGCUUCUAUUAAAGGUGAAUGUGAGCGUGCUUUGACGGCCUUGCGCCGGGGAAAUCAUACUAAAGCCCUUAGAUUGAUGAAGGAAUUGUCUUCCAAGCAUGAGAGUUCUCCCCAUUCUGCUUUGAUUCACCGUGUUCAAGGGACUGUGUGUGUCAAAGUGGCAUCCAUUAUCGAUGAUCCUAAUUCUAAGCAGCGGCAUUUGAAAAAUGCCAUAGACAGUGCGCGUAAAGCGGUUACUUUGUCGCCUAAUUCGAUUGAGUUUGCUCAUUUUUAUGCUAACCUGAUAUAUGAAGCUGCAAAUGAGGGGAAGGAGUACGAAGAGGUUGUGCAGGAGUGUGAGAGAGCAUUGGCGAUUGAGAAUCCAGUUGACCCUGGGAAGGAGAGCUUGCAGGAUGAGAGUCAGCAGAAGUUAACUCCAGCUGAGGCCAGGAUUGCUCACGUGCAGAGUGAGCUUCGGUCACUGAUCCAGAAGUCGAACAUUGCAUCCAUCUCGACUUGGAUGAAGAACUUGGGGAAUGGGGAGGAGAAAUUUAGGUUGAUUCCUAUAAGGAGGGUCUCAGAGGAUCCAAUGGAAUUGAGGUUGGUUCAAACAAGACGGCCAAAUGAGAUAAAGAAGGCAACUAAGACGCCUGAGGAGAGGAGGAAGGAGAUUGAGGUUCGGGUGGCUGCUGCCAGGUUGUUGCAACAGAAGUCAGAGUCACCCUUGUCACAGGCUGAUGGUGACAGGAUUUUGGAUUCAUCUUCUGGGUCAGGACAGAGAAUGGGAGAGAGACGGAAAAGUGGAAGUGCUAGGAAGAAUGCAUCUUCUGCUGAGAGGAAGGACUGGGUCAGGUCAUUUUGGAAUUCCAUGAGUUUGGAUAAGAAGAAAGAUCUGCUUAGGGUUAGGGUUUCAGAUCUUAAGGCUCAUUUUAGUUUGUCCAAGGAUGGGGUAGCAAAUGAGGUGAUCUCUGAAGCUUUGACAUUUGCUGAAGCUAAUAAAGACUGGAAUUUUUUUGUUUGCUGCCGAUGCAAUGAAAAAUUUGCAGAUGCAGACUCUCACAUACAUCACGUUUUACGUGAACAUAUGGGGAUUUUGUUGCCAAAAAUGGAGAGAGUUAUACCUAAAAUUGUGGAGAAUGAGUGGGCUGAGAUGCUUCUCAAUUGUCACUGGAAGCCACUGGACGUUAGUACAGCUAUAAAAACCCUUGGAGAACAAUCAAAAGCUCACGGGUCUGAAUUUCUUGAUGAGUCUUAUCCCAGAAACGAGACUGAAGAUUUCAAUGAAUGCUUUGCUGACAGUUACUGUAAUGAAGAUGAGUGGGAUUCUUCACCUAGGAAAAAAGAAUCAGGGGAUAACUGCAAUGGUAGUAGUAUUAAGAGCAAAGAGUAUGAUAAGAUCUCAGACAUUGUUUGGAUGGACUGUGAUGAUAAUCAAGAAACUAAGGCAUGCUUCCCUCAGGAUAGCUGGCCAGUGUCUGAUGACAUUGAGCGUGCAAAGCUUCUUGAGAGAAUCCAUACCAUCUUCCAGGCCCUCAUAAAACAUAAAUAUCUUGCUUCAAGUCAUCUCAACAAGGUUAUGCGAUUUGCAGUGGAGGAGUUGCAAGGGCUAGCUUAUGGUUCACAACUUCUUAAUCAUAACAUUGACCAAACACCUUUGUGCAUCUGCUUCCUGGGUGCUCCAGAGUUGAAAAAAAUUCUGAAAUUUAUACAGGAGCUUUAUCAUUCUUGUGGCUUAGGUAGAUAUCCUGAUAAAGGUAAUGCAGUGGAUGAUUCAAAUAGUGGGACUCAAGGUGUAAAGGUUUUGGAGAAGUUAGUUUUGAGUGAAGAUGCUUCAUGUUUAAGUUUGGAUGAGCAUUUCUUGCCACAAAAGCAUAUUCCCAGCUCUUGCCAUAGUGUAGUAACUGGGGAUAUUAGUGCUGCAAAUUUACCUGAUAUGAGCAAUGACAGUGGUAAUUUACUUGACUCUGAUGCUUUAUUAUCCUGGAUAUUUUUCGGUCCUUCAAGUGGGGAACAGUUGGCAUCAUGGAUGCGGGGGAGAGAAGAGAAAGCACAACAGGGUAUCGAAAUUCUCCAGGUACUUGAGAAGGAAUUUUACAACCUACAGGGCUUGUGUGAGAGAAAAUUGGAGCAUUUAAGUUAUGAUGAGGCACUGCAGGCUGUUGAGGAUCUCUGUUUAGAAGAAGGUAAGAAAAGGGAGCAUGUAACUGAAUUUGUCCGGAGAAGUUACGAGUCUGUUUUAAGGAAACGACGAGAGGAUCUCAUUGAAUGUGAUAAUGAACUUACCAUUAUGAGCAAUAGGUUUGAAUUGGAUGCUAUAUCAAAUAUCUUGAAGGAAGCAGAGUCUCUAAAUGUUAAUCAGUUUGGAUUUGAGGAAAAUUAUGGUGGCAUGACAUCUCAAUUAUGUGACUUGGAAUCUGGUGAAGACGAAGAUUGGAGAACGAGGGAUUAUCUGCAUCAGGUUGACUCCUGUGUAGAAGUUGCGAUAUCUAGACAAAAAGAACAUGUGUCUGUUGAGCUCAGUAAAAUUGAUGCAAGAAUUAUGCGAGUAAUAGCUGCGAUGCAGCAGUUGGAAGCUAAACUUGAGCCUGCAUCUGCUUUUGAUUACCGGGCAAUCUUAGUACCCCUAGUGAAGUCAUAUAUGCGGGCUCACUUGGAGGAUCUUGCAGAGAAAGAUGCCACAGAGAAAUCUGAUGCCGCCAGAGAAGCAUUUUUGGCAGAACUUGCUCUUGAUUCUAAGAAGGGCAGCAGCGGAGGAAGUGAUAAUGCUCGUCAUAUGCAUGAGAAAACAAAAGAUAAGAAAAAGAACAAGGAUUUUCGAAAAGCCAAGGAUUCAAAGGCUAAUAGUGGCAGUGAGCUACAUAUGCUUUCCUCAGAGACUACUAAAGAAAUGUUUUGUUGCAGCUCAUAUCCAGUCACACACGAGGGAGAAGAUAUACAUGCUGAGAUAGUGAAUGCUGGAAAUGGUGACACCUUAGAACAAGAGGAAGAGGAAUUCAGGCGUAGAAUUGAGCUUGAAGCUGAGGAGAGAAAGCUAGAAGAAACUUUGGAAUAUCAAAGGCGUAUUGAAAAUGAAGCUAAACAGAAGCAUCUAGCUGAGCAACAUAAGAGAACUGUAGGGAUAAAUCCAGAAAAAGUUGCAGCAAUUGCUCACUCUGAUACUUACUUGAAGCAACAGGAAGAUGAUCAUGAUGUCAAUGUCCAAUGGAAAUAUAGAAAAAAAGAACCCAUGGUACAGAAGAAUGGAUUUUCAAAUGCCAUGGAAGGUUUUCUAGAGGAUGGCGUUGAAGGAGUUGGACAAAAAGCUGGCUUGCCCAACGGAGGAAGCAUAGAGGAUGGCCUGUUGCCUUCUGAUCGACGGUCAGGAAGGAGAAAUAGACGGCAAAAAGGUGCAGCUAGACUUAACCAGCCCGUGCUAUCAGAAAAGGAAAACUUGGAAUUCAAAUCCUUGGAUGAAGCACAUGAUGAUGGAACAAAGACAUUGAGACAACUACAGGCAGAGGAGGAUGAUGAAGAAAGGUUCCAAGCUGACCUCAAGAAAGCUGUACGCCAAAGUCUUGAUUCUUUUCACGCGCAUCAGAAAUUGCCUCUUGCAGCGAAGUUGGGAAUGCCGCCCAAAACCUUUCCUGCAGCAACUGACUCAGUCAUUUCAGCUGAUGAGAUCAUGACUGAAAACUUAGAUCAGAUGGAUGUAUAUGGUACAGGGUUAAAGAAUGAAAUUGGCGAAUACAAUUGCUUUUUAAAUGUCAUUAUUCAGUCUUUGUGGCACUUACGACGGUUUAGAGAUGAAUUUUUGAGGAGGUCAUUAUCAGAACAUGUACAUGUUGGGGAUCCUUGUGUUGUAUGUGCAUUAUAUGAUAUUUUUGCUGCUCUGAACACUGCUUCAGUGGAUGCACAAAGAGAAGCUGUUGCCCCUACUUCCCUGAGAAUUGCCCUUAGCAACCUCUAUCCGGAUAGUAAUUUCUUCCAAGAAGGACAAAUGAAUGAUGCUUCAGAAGUGUUGGGCGUCAUAUUUGAUUGCCUUCAUCGAUCAUUUACUUCAACCAUGUGUACUUCUGAUGCCGAAUCAUUAGAUAGCAACUGCAUGGGCUCUUGGGAUUGCACAAAUGGUGCUUGCGUUGCACAUUCUCUUUUUGGCAUGGACAUAUUUGAAAGAAUGAAUUGUUACAAUUGUGGUCUGGAGUCCAGACACUUAAAGUAUACUUCAUUCUUCCACAAUAUCAAUGCCAGUGCUCUGCGUACUAUGAAGAUACCUUUCAGGUUAUGUGUCCAGAAAGCUCUUUUGAUGAGCUUCUGAACCUUGUUGAGAUGAAUCACCAAUUAGCUUGUGAUCCUGAAGCUGGUGGCUGUGGAAAGCUUAACUACAUCCAUCAUAUUCUGUCGACCCCACCACAUGUUUUCACAACAGUUUUGGGUUGGCAGAAUACCUGUGAACAUGUUGAUGACAUAAAGGCCACAUUGACAGCCUUAUCUACAGAGAUGGAUAUCAGUGUCCUUUAUCGUGGUCUUGAUCCAAAAAAUAGGCACUGCUUGGUCUCAGUGGUUUGCUAUUACGGGCAGCAUUAUCACUGUUUUGCGUACAGUCAGGAUCAUGAACGGUGGCUUAUGUAUGACGACAAAACCGUGAAGGUAAUUGGUGGCUGGGAGGAUGUUCUUACCAUGUGUGAGAGAGGGCAUUUGCAACCUCAAGUCCUCUUUUUUGAAGCCGUGAAUUAGUGUGAUGGGAGUUCAUCGCAUAAAUUAUAUAUUUACCAUGGGCUACAAGUCGCUCGUUGAACGCAUCCAUGAAUUGAUAUACUUGCCGUGUACAGCUAGCUCUUCAAGAUGCAUACUUCCUUUAAUAUAAUAGGGGAAGUUGGAAAUGUCACGAGUCCAGAGUUGUAAAAUACGAGUAAAAGGAGAUUUUGUUGUGUAUUUCAGGAGGAGAGCAGGAGACAUUGGCCUGCAGCAAAGUUUUGUCUGAAGAUUAGUGAGUAAAUUGAACCGAGAGAGUAGACUUUGGUGCUAACUAGCCUGUUGAACUGAGCCUUUGUUGGUGUUGGAGUUUUCUUUUAACCAGGCAUCUCAGAAAACGAGGCAUUUCGGCUGUAAAAAUAGGAUUAAGUGACCGUUGAGGGCCACAAGUUGCCUGCCUGGCCCUUAAAUUAAAUAGUUGGAGCAUGUGAAAUGGCAGCCUCUAAGUGGCAUUUGGCAACUAGCACCUUUUGUUAGCGGAUGGAUCCUUGCUACAGAUGUAUACAGGAAAGUUUAGUUUAUUAGUUUCAUAUAUUAUAGCUCAUUGUUUUCCAGUACGAUGAGGAAGCUGUGUACAGAUGAGAUGUUUACCCUUUAGGGGUUACCUACCACCUCAGCCCCAUAGUAAGUCUGCAUUUUGCAAUGCUUAAAAUUUUGCAGAAAAGUUUUGGGUAGCUUAUUGUGACGAGGGACUCUGUAAUAGGGUGGAUGAUGAUGAUGAUGAUGAUGAUGGUGGUGGUGGUGGUGGUGGUGGUGGUGGUGGUGUUACAAUUGAUAAAA